AACAAUUUAACGGGGAGCUCGUAGACGGGCUGAGAGGGAAUGAUCAAUUCCGACCCAUAACCUGAUUUGGAUAAUGCCAACGUAGGUAAAUACCGGAAUUUGAGUU
rnacentral:ncRNA from 2 species